rnacentral:lncRNA from 1 species
AAAUAAGAAAGAAUUACAAUAAAAUACACAUGACUUCAUAUCAUAACAAAAAAUGGCUCAUCUUUUAAGAUUUACCCAACAUAACCUAUAGUGUAUAUAUUUUGAAAAUACUAGCUCUUGCAAAUUCAAAAUUUGUGUUCUUACAAUCGUUGCUUCUAAAAGUUAUGGAGUUAAAUAUGUGCUCUCGCAACCAUUGCUUCACUCUCUCCUCUUCUCACAUUUUUCACAUAUACUUCAAGGGACUGUCCGCCAUUACUGCUUCUCCCCCUAUAUCACCUGGUUGCAAUAAAAAAAAUUAAAGAAUAGAAGUCUACCAUGAAAGGCCAUUCAAAGCUUUGAUUUAGAAAAUAUAAUUUCUUGUAAUUCUUAAUUAUUUGGAUUGGGUAUUGUUUCAAUUGAUUUAAAAUAUUAAAAGGAGUUCAAAGUUUAAAUUUGAAUUGAUUUGGAGUAGAUUUGAGCAAGAUUUGAGUUAUACUUCAGAAAAAACGCAAGGAAGAAGACGAAGUCAGUUUUUUGUAUAAUCUUGUAUAAUAGUGUAUAUGGGUGUAUAAACUUAUCUUAUAUACUUUUACACACCUUUAUACAAACGUCUAUAGACGAACUUCUUCGACGAUUUUCAGUUGCAAUUCUUAUUCAAAACCAGUCCAAAUCUCCAUUAAAUGACUUCAAAUUUUAUAUACAACCUCCUUAUACUCUUUCUAAAAAAUGUAAAUAGCACACACUCCAAAUUACUUACAAAAUCAAAUUUGAAAUUUAAAUUCACAUAUUUAAGCUUGUUAAAAAUCUAAUUUUUACCACCCGGAUGGAUUUGAUUUGUUAAACUAAUAUUUGAGUCAUAGUUAUUGAUUCGAAAAUUAACUUAAAAGCUUGAGCAAUUUUUCUAAAAAAUUAAAUAGUAAUUUUGAGAACCUAUUAGAGUUGAAUAUUGAAUCUUAACCUAUUAUUUUUGGAUUAGUUGGUUGUAAAUUAAGAUAUGAGCUAUAAAAUUGAAAAUGUGGGUGAUCAGAUAUUCUUAUGUGAAAUUCUCCUCGAAGAAUUUCCAUUCAAAGAGAAUAUAUGUAGAGUUCUGAGAGGCGAUAGAAUUUUAUUUUCAAGUAUCUUACGUUGAACUGAAGGUCUCAAAAAAAGAUAAAAACAGACCAAGAAAAAUAGAUAAGGUUAGAGAUGAAAUCAUGAAAUCAGUUAAGUGAAAAUGAAAAUGACUACCAAAAACAUCUCAAAAAGUGGAUUAGAAAAUGAAAAAUGUAGUUUCCACCAUCAACCAAGUCGUUACGAACCAACCGGUCCAAAUUCAGGUUCCGAGGGAGGAGAUCACUGUAGUACAACAAUGUUGUUAAAGUGGAAGCUGGCUGAACCAUCAAUGCACUCAUCGUUCUUGCUACUGAACCAAACAUCAUUGCCGUGACACACUGCAAUAAACAUAUAGAGCUUAAGAAAAAUGAAAAUAAAAAAUUUACACUAUCGAUGUUUUAAUAAUUUUAAAUAUCAAUAAUUAAGUAGCAUAAAAUUCUUUUUGUCUUAUUGAGCCGAGGGUCUUUCGGAAAUAGCUCUUCUACUCCUUUAAAAUAAGUGUAAUGUCUACGUAUACACUACCCUCCCCAGAUCCCACUAGUGAAAUUUCACUAGAUCGUUGUUGUUGUUUCACUGUAUAAGAGUUAACUUAAAACUGAAACCCAACUCCAGACCAGUGCGAAGCUAGAAAUUUUGCUAAAGACAUUCAAGCUUGUUCGAGAUAUAAUAUAUAUAUAUAUAUAUAUAUAUAUAUAUAUUAGAUCGGAAGAGCGUCGUGUAGGGAAAGAGUGUAGAUCUCGGUGGUCGCCGUAUCAUUAAAAAAAAAUAAAUGAGUGUUGCUUAGCCAUAGCAGGUCUGUAUUGAAUUUGCGGGGAGUAGUAGGGGUGGGGUAUUGGGAUUUGGGAAUUUGGGUAGAUGUGUUUGGGCCUAUUAUUAUUUGGAUUUGGAAUUUAUGGGUAAGCCGGUGAAAGGCCAUUUUCAACUUUCUCUUUGUUCUUUCUUCUGGUAUGACUUUCCCAUUUGUCCUCCACCUUUACCUUUACCUUUACCUCUUCUCUUUAUUUGUCUAUUAUUCUUUUUGAAUUUUUGAAAUUAUGGUACUAUGUCCAAAAAUUUGAGAAUAUUGAAUUUUUUACAUUGGGCAAUGGGUAGUCACCGACAGGCUUUCCAAUUUUUUUUUUUAUUUAACUUUUCUAUGUUUGAACUAGGUCAUAAAUAAAGAUGGAUUCAAAAUUUUUAAUUGUUAUUGCACAAGUAUUUUUUUUGAUAAAAUUAAGCAACAAUAUUUAUAUUUCUAUAAAAGUUUUGUUAUAUAUAUAUAUAUGUAUGUAUGUAUAAAAGAUAUAACAACAACAACAAUCCAGUAUAAUCCCACAUAGUAGGAUCUGGGGAGGGUAGUGUGUACGCAGAUCUUACCCCUACCGUGGGGUAGAGAGGCUGUUUCCAAAUAGACCCCCGGUAUCCUUCCCUCCAAAAACUUCCUACCUUGAUCUUGGAGAGACUCAAACUCACAACCUCUCGGUUGAAAGUGGGGGUUGCAUAUGUAUAAAAGAUAUACUCCCUCUGUUUCAACUUAUAGUGUAAAAUGAAGAUAGAAGAGUUGCAUCUGACUGGGCACGGAGUUUAAGAAAAGAUAGAAGAUUUGUGAAUUUAUGGUGUAAAAUGAAACACAUAUAUUUGUGUGGCUGUAAAUCAAUGCAAAAAGGUAAAAUAUUUUCAAACGGGGAAAGAUGUUAUUCUUUUUGGCACGGACUAAGAAAAUAAGUUCACACAGAAGAAAUAUUUAACGUAAAUACAACAAAAGAUGUUCAAUUGGCCAUCCUUGAGCCUAGUGGCCGCUGUACUUCAGACAACGGAAACAUCACAUAGAAUUAAGACUAAUUAAUCUUAAAGAAGAAUAACGAUCGGAGAAGAAGAAUAGCAUACCAUUAUUGGCAUAUAAAAACUCAUACACGAAGCUCUAAGGGUAAAAUUGUUCAAAACUGAUAGAAGGUAAGUGUGCCUUGUGGGGGAAGAUGGGGUUUUUGAUUGGGUUUAUAGUAAAAGACACAGCCAACUAAUCUUGGUAAAAGUGAAACUUAAACGUAGUUUGUUGCAUGUGAAAAGUUGAUUAACGUGAAUCUGCCAAAAGGGAAGCAACUGAUAUCGAG